rnacentral:tRNA from 1 species
GCCUUUGUGGUGUAGUGGUCAGCACGCUUGACGCGUAACCGAGAGGUCCAUGGUUCGAUUCCCGGCGAAGACA